UACGAAGGGGGCUAGCGUUGCUCGGAAUCACUGGGCGUAAAGGGUGCGUAGGCGGGUCUUUAAGUCAGGGGUGAAAUCCUGGAGCUCAACUCCAGAACUGCCUUUGAUACUGAAGAUCUUGAGUUCGGGAGAGGUGAGUGGAAUUCCAGGUGUAGCGGUGAAAUGCGUAGAUAUCUGGAGGAACACCGGUGGCGAAGGCGGCAUCCUGGACCGACACUGACGCUGAGGAGCGAAAGCCAGGGGAGCAACAGG
rnacentral:rRNA from 1 species